rnacentral:rRNA from 1 species
CCUACGGGAGGCAGCAGUGAGGAAUCUUGGUCAAUGGACGAGAGUCUGAACCAGCCAAGUAGCGUGAAGGAUGACUGCCCUAUGGGUUGUAAACUUCUUUUAUAUGGGAAUAAAAUGUUCCACGUGUGGGACUUUGUAUGUACCAUAUUAAUAUGGAUCGGCUAACUCCGUGCCAGCAGCCGCGGUAAUACGGAGGAUCCGAGCGUUAUCCGGAUUUAUUGGGUUUAAAGGGAGCGUAGGUGGAUUGUUAAGUCAGUUGUGAAAGUUUGCGGCUCAACCGGAGAAUUGCAGUUGAAACUGGCGAUCUUGAGUACAGUAGAGGUGAGCGGAAUUCGUGGUGUAGCGGUGGAAUGCGUAGAUAUAACGAAGAACUCCGAUUGCGAAGGCAGCUCACUGGACUGCAACUGACACUGAGGCUCGAAAGUGUGGGUAUCGAACAGGAUUAGAUACCCGUGUAGUC